rnacentral:rRNA from 1 species
AGUGAACGCUGGCGGUAGGCCUAACACAUGCAAGUCGAACGGCAGCACAGUAAGAGCUUGCUCUUACGGGUGGCGAGUGGCGGACGAGUGAGGAAUACAUCGGAAUCUACUUUUUCGUGGGGGAUAACGUAGGGAAACUUACGCUAAUACCGCAUACGACCUACGGGUGAAAGCAGUGGAUCUUCGCACCUUGCGCGAUUGAAUGAGCCGAUGUCGGAUUAGCUAGUUGGCGGGGUAAAGGCCCACCAAGGCGACGAUCCGUAGCUGGUCUGAGAGGAGGAUAAGCCACACGGGAACUGAGACACGGUCCAGACUCCUACGGGAGGCAGCAGUGGGGAAUAUUGGGCAAUGGGCGCAAGCCUGAUCCAGCCAUACCGCGUGGGUGAAGAAGGCCUUCGGGUUGUAAAGCCCUUUUGUUGGGAAAGAAAAGCAGCAGGUUAAUACCCCGCUGUUCUGACGGUACCCAAAGAAGAAGCACCGGCUAACUUCGUG